ACCGACAAUGAUCUCGGCAUCCAUAACACUCGCAGAAAAUGACCUUGCCACUUCGGCAUCAAUAAAACUCAUUGGUAAUAACCUCAACAUUAUUGACACUUGGUGGUAUUGAUCUUAGCAUCAUCACAACACAUCUCAUCAUAGUGUCUAGAACCAACGCAAAUAGGCAUGUUCACACAAUAAUGAGGAAAUGAAAAAUUCAGGCAAUUUACAGACACAACAAUACUAUUAAAGAAUUUCAUCAACGACCAAUUCAAUAUCAACACUCAAGGAAAUUUACACAACUUCCUGCAAUUAUCAUGACACAUACCUAAUUUAUAUAUGUACCAAAGAUACCUAAUAAAUUACUCACCUACCACACUACCAACUACCACACUACCACUUCUAUGAAUACUUCAACUAUCAAUUCCGCACCGAAAAAUGGUAUCAGAGCUAUGGUUAAUGAGAAACAUAGGAAGAAACAUAAUAG
rnacentral:lncRNA from 1 species